CAAUAACACGGUUACUGUUGAAAAUGAAUAGUGAUAGGACUUUUUUGUCCUUUUUCCAGCUUUGUUCGGCAAUGCUUUCCUUCACAGCCAUGUAUCGUAUGACUCCAAUUUUUCAUUCCAUUUCAUCAACCUCCCUUUCUCUCUCAUCAAUGGCGAUUGAUCCUCUCCUAGAAUUGAAUCAACCAACUGUUCACUCAAAUUGAAGGAACUGUAUCAAGUUCAUGGUCCUUUAAUUAAUGAAUUCCAACUCCAAUUUCUUCAUUCUCAACCGAAUUACUACAAUUAGGGUAAAAUUACCCAGUUCCAGAUUGUUCCAGCCCAGUCUGCUGCUGGUGUUUCUGGCGACGAAGAAGAUGAAAAUGCUGACGAGGAGUAGAAAAAAUCGAGGGGUUAUGAAAAUUAAGAUGCGGAUGAAACCCUUGAUAAUAGAAAUUCGAAUUUAAGGUUUGAGGAGAGAGAGAGAGAGAGAAAGGAGAGCGAGAGUGAGUAAUCUUGCUAAUUGUGGUUGUGGUGGGGUACAGAAGAUCAGAUGGCGGCGAUAGCGGGAUGAAGAGAGAGAGUGUGAGAAGGAGGUGAAGGAGGGAAGAGAUUGUGAGGAAAAAGAGAUGGUUAAUGUUGGCGGUGUUGGCGGUUUUGGAUCAGGCGGAGGAGGAAAUCGUCGCCGCCGGUCAUGUUGGUGGUGGGUUUAAGGUGAGAUUUGGGGCUGAUUAUGAUGGGAUCAUGAGUUUCAUGCCUCUAUCUUACUCCAAAAACCCAAUUGUUCACCAAUAAUCCCCAAUUUUUUGCAUCAAAAUUUCAAAGAAUCACAAAACCCCAUCAAUCAAAAUAUCAAAUCAUCAUUUUGUGGGUUUUAAUUGGCGGAUUUUACGAAAUUCGUGUAAAAUUGAUACCUAAAUGCAGGAUCAGCUGAUAUCUCUGGCAGAUGCGCGUGGAAGUCUAUAGUAAGAGCAGCAACCAGCAAGAGUUGGAAUUCUGAUUCAAAUUAUGAUGUUGGUUUUGCUUUUGUACUUGGUCAUGUUUUGCGUCGCCAUAAAUUUCACUAUCUUCCUGAAGCUAGCGCUUUUCUUUUGAUUGGUAGUAUAAUUCUCCCUUUUUUGCUUUAUUGAACAGGGUAUUUUAAAAUUAAUACUGCAUGUGUUGAGUUUUUUUUUCUUGUCAAUUUCGAAUCUUAUUUGCAUGAUUUUGGUCCAAAAUGGAGUGUCAAAGUGUUGUUGUAUCUGUAUUGGAGUGUUGGGUAUUUGUUGCGGGUACUUGAAGUGAAAUGAAGAGUUAGGAUAGCAUAUAUGAUCCCGAGUUUACAGACACUGCAAUUAGUAAUUAGUUUUCGAUGUUUGUUUUUGAUGCUAGAACUGGAUGCAAUGUCUGCUAUUUAUGUUAUAGUUUUGGGUGUUAUUGGUGAUCUCAUUCAAUCCUUUUUGGUACCCUUUUAUGCCUGAUAUUUGCCGGAAUGAAGUGUAUAAGUGUUGUAUCUAUGCUUGAGUGAUGAGAAUCCAAUAUGGGUACUUCAGGUGAAUUGAAAGUUUUAAGUAAUGUAGAUGAUCAUGGUGCCUCUUACAAGUUGUACAAGGAGUCGAGGAGGGUUCAACUUUAUGGGUUUUGUUCUUUAUUAAGGUUUAAUUUUAAUUUUAAUUCACCAAUUCAGAACAAACGUAUUAGUUUUCUUAAGGUUUAGAACCUAAUCGUAUAUAUUAAUGAUGAAAUGGUUAGAAAAUGAUAUAAACAGGGGGGGUUGGAGAGAAUAAAAAAAGAUUUAGUUAUGAAAGUAGAAAAUUAAAGAACUUUAGAUUGAAUUGUUUUGUUUGUUAUUAGAGUUUUCUGUUUUGCUAGAAAUUAUUCUUUGGUGAUGGAGUAUUGCUUAUUAUUAGGAGUAAUAAUAUUAGAAUUUCCUACAAAGUACGGAAUGUUGCUUACUAUUUGAAUCAUGUGUAGUUUCUUAUGAAAUAUUGAUCUGAUUCUUCUGUAAAUAAAUAAGGUAUCUAUCAGAGAAAAUGUACACUGGGUCACUGGCCAUAUUGUUUGCCGUUUGAUUUGCGAUUCUAGGACUUGAAAUUGCCCAGGUUUGUUCUGAACUUUUGCUUAUUUCUUAGGCAUUAAAUAAAGUCCAUGCAACUAAACACCAAGUUUUGUAUCUUGCAGAAAAACACCACUACUUGCUCCCCUGCAUUCUGGGUAACCAAUCUAUGUCAUAUACCCCUCCAUAGUCCAUACUCUACUGUCUAUAUGCCUAAGAUCUUGAAAUAAUAAAUCAAUUAUUUAAUCAUCUCAUUGUCAAGUUGUCAACAAUAAGUUGAGAGCUAAUUAAAUUAUGCCAAUUAUUAUACUGCAAGAAUUUCUCCACUUGACGUCACAAAAGCAGGCAAACCAUCUGCAUGUAUAUCGCCUAAAGCAAGUUUAAGUGUUUGACAUGUCUUGGGAACUAUUUUUAGACUUAUUGUAAGACCUUUACAGGGAUCUUGUGGGUUGGAUAAUUGGAUUUCGACCAGUUUGUUUGAGGUUAUGUGUUUUUUAAUGCUGUUGAAAUCAUUUUCAGAUAAUUGCCUUGUUGUGAUAAACUUUGUAAUUUGGUAGAAAGUCUUCUCUUGCUCUUCUCUCCCUCUUUAAUGGUAAUUUGUUCAAUUUUAAGUGGGAUUUGUAUAUUUUAUAAUUUGCUCAAUUUUCCUGUUUAAAAUGUAAUUUGCCUUGUUUUACUGGUUUUCUUUGGUACUUAUACUUUGUUGUAUAUAUAGUGAAAUUAUUUAGUGUUUUUCCAAUUAGAUACUAUGUGGUUUAGGCUGUAUUUAAUGAGCUCAGCAAUAUUUUGGAGCCCGAGAAGCCAACUUACACUCCAAAGAAAGGAAACCUAUGCAUCAUCAUGUUUGCUGGUCUACAAGGUGGGGAAUUGGAAGGAUAAGUAUGACUUCAUGUUAGCCGACAUUUUGAAGCAAAAUAAAGUAAAUAUUUCAAGCAUAAGAUUUGAUCCCGGGGGCAAAAGAGAAGGAGACCGAGAAGGAGGCUCUUUAGGGAGUUAAAGCUCAAUGAAUUCUGAAAGCUCAAAAGGGUUCAGGCUCUUCACUCUCUUGUGGAGUGUGCUGCAGAACAUUAAAGCCAUUUUGAGCAAGUAUUCUUGCUUGAUUAAUCGGUCAGUCUCCAGCUGAAAUUUUAAUACAAAGUCAAGCUUAUCUUUCAAGGCACAAUUGACAUCCUUCACAAUUCCUGGAGCAAUUAUACCAGUAAUGAGUUGUAGAAGUAUCAUUCCAAAUGAAUAUAUAAUUGAUUCUCAAGUAACUACUCCAGUUUCAAGUCAAUAUACACUAAGAUGCAGUAUAAUGUUGGCUUUUGAUAGGAGUCUCAUUUUGUGGAUAAAAAAGAAGAUUCCCAAUUCACCAAGUUUGCUAUUAAAAUUGGCAUUAAGGACCUUAGUGAGUUUUUAAGUUCCCAUGGAAAAUUGGAGGGUUAUUUUUAUGAAGAUCAAGGCAGAGCAUAGUUCUAUUACAAUGCGAACUCAAGUUUGUCAUUGUAAAGGGAGAGCAAAGGGAAUAUCUAUCAAGGUUGAUAUUUUUCUUCUUGUAUGUUUCAUUCUCUAUUUUUCUAUUUCUAACCGGUUGUAUUCUGUUGUUCGUCACUGUUAUAGCAAAAUAAUCAAUUAGAUUCUCAUGUGGCCAGUGACAUGCAUGCUACGUUGAACUUGGAUGAUGGAUUAUGGGAUAUGAUUUUGUUGAAACGGCUAUCAUUUUGAGUCGGAAUAUGCCAAAACAGAAUCAUAUACGGCUAUCCCAAUUGAUCUCGACAAUAGUUAUAUGAUAAUUAGUAGUUAACAGUAUGAGUUAUAUUCUUUGGUGUCUUUGAUUUCAGGCUGUUAACCUCACAGACAAGCUUCUUUGUCUGAAGUAGAAAUUCAUGGAGGAGGAUCAAUCUGAAUGACUGAACCACCCAACAGAAGACAUAUGCAGCAUCAAAAAGAUCCAUGAGCCCAUUGUGGACAGACAAUCAAAAUCGGUUAUUGCUGAGCAUGAAAAAUCAGUAGCUGGAACCAGAAGGGGCUUGACAUAGCAAUGCCGGGACAAAGAACUGAACCCAAGAGAUCUAUUUUAAAAUCUUUGAGGCUGCUUGAUGUGUUUAGUUUAUAUAGCAAGCUUACUUGUGACUAGCAACUUGCUUUUUAAAGAUUGCAUAUUGUGGUGUUUAUUAAAUUUACAUGUGACGUGUUCUUUACCUUUUGUUUCAUUUUACUUCACAUUCUGUAAAUUUUUUUCUCAUAUUGUCUUCGCUUAAUUUUCUUAGUAUUA